rnacentral:rRNA from 1 species
GGUUGCGAUCAUACCAGCACUAAUGCACCGGAUCCCAUCAGAACUCCGCAGUUAAGCGUGCUUGGGCGAGAGUAGUACUAGGAUGGGUGACCCCCUGGGAAGUCCUCGUGUUGCAACCCGC